AGAGUGAACGCUGGCGGCAGGCCUAACACAUGCAAGUCGAACGGCAGCACAGCCCCGCAAGGGGUGGGUGGCGAGUGGCGGACGGGUGAGGAAUACAUCGGAAUCUACCUUGUCGUGGGGGAUAACGUAGGGAAACUUACGCUAAUACCGCAUACGAACUAUGGUUGAAAGCGGCGGACCGCAAGGCGUCGCGCGAUUGGAUGAGCCGAUGUCCGAUUAGCUAGUUGGCGGGGUAAAGCCCACCAAGGCGACGAUCGGUAGCUGGUCUGAGAGGAUGAUCAGCCACACUGGAACUGAGACACGGUCCAGACU
rnacentral:rRNA from 1 species